ACGUAGGCAGCAAGCGUUGUUCGGAGUUACUGGGCGUAAAGAGUGUGUAGGCGGUUCGCUAAGUUCGGUGUGAAAUCUCCUGGCUUAACUGGGAGGGUGCGCCGGAAACUGGUGGGCUAGAAUCCGGGAGAGGGAUGUGGAAUUCCAGGUGUAGCGGUGAAAUGCGUAGAUAUCUGGAGGAACAUCGGUGGCGAAGGCGGCAUCCUGGACCGGUAUUGACGCUGAGGCGCGAAAGCCAGGGGAGCAAACGGGA
rnacentral:rRNA from 1 species